GUGCACUCGAACCCUUAUCAUUCUUUCGCCCCGUGUGCUUUCUAACAACUGGACGGAGAACUGAUAAGGGCCCGGGUCACC
rnacentral:pre_miRNA from 21 species